CGGCGGUAGCAUUGAAGGCGUACGGGCGUGAGCCUGGCUGGAGCUGCCGUCGGUGCAGAUCUUGGUGGUAGUAGCAAAUACUCAAGCGAGAACCUUGAGGACUGAAGUGGAGAAGGGUUCCAUGUGAACAGCAGUUGAACAUGGGUCAGUCGACCUUAAGGUAUCGGCGAAAGCCGUUCAGAAGCGGUGUGGAUAUGUAUGCAGAAAUGUGUACAGGUUAUUGGGUUACCUGCUGGUUGUGAAACAGGGUGUUGGCUGGUAACGGUCGAUGCUGSCGUCAUGAUUAGUAGCCAAUAAUCACCGCACCUGCCGAAAGGGAAUCGGGUUAAUAUUCCCGAACCUGGCAUCGGAGACUGAAUGGCCUUCGGGUCAUUACAUGCGGUAACGCAAAUGAACUCAGAGACGCUGACACGUACCCUGGGAAGAGUUGUCUUUUCUUGAUAAGGAGCAAACUCCCUGGAAUCGGAUCAUCCGGCGAUAGGGAGAAAGCAUCCGUAAAGCACCGCGGUUCUUGCGGUGUCCGGUGCGUACGUGUCGGUCCUUGAAAAUCUGAGGGAGAGUGUGAUUUUCGUGCCAGAUCGUACCCAUAGCCGC
rnacentral:rRNA from 1 species